AGUGAACGCUGGCGGUAGGCCUAACACAUGCAAGUCGAACGGCAGCACAGUAAGAGCUUGCUCUUACGGGUGGCGAGUGGCGGACGGGUGAGGAAUACAUCGGACUCUACUUUUUCGUGGGGGAUAACGUAGGGAAACUUACGCUAAUACCGCAUACGACCUACGGGUGAAAGCAGGGGAUCUUCGGACCUUGCGCGAUUGAAUGAGCCGAUGUCGGAUUAGCUAGUUGGCGGGGUAAAGGCCCACCAAGGCGACGAUCCGUAGCUGGUCUGAGAGGAUGAUCAGCCACACUGGAACUGAGACACGGUCCAGACUCCUACGGGAGGCAGCAGUGGGGAAUAUUGGACAAUGGGCGCAAGCCUGAUCCAGCCAUACCGCGUGGGUGAAGAAGGCCUUCGGGUUGUAAAGCCCUUUUGUUGGGAAAGAAAAGCAGCAGGUUAAUACCCAGCUGUUCUGACGGUACCCAAAGAAUAAGCACCGGCUAACUUCGUG
rnacentral:rRNA from 1 species